CAAUAGCGUAUAUUAAAGUUGUUGCAGUUAAAAGCUCGUAGUUGGAUUUCUGGCUGGAGCGAUCGGUCCGCCCCGCAAGGGGUGUGUACUAGCGUCGUCUCCGACCAUCCUUGUGGGAACUGUGCGGCCGUUAACUCGGUUGUAUAUGGGAACACAUCGUUUACUGUGAAAAAUUAGAGUGUUUAAAGCAGGCUUAAGCCGUUGAAUACAUUAGCAUGGAAUAAUGGAAUAGGACUUUGGUCUUAUUUUGUUGGUUUCUAAGGCCGAGGUAAUGAUUAAUAGGGAUAGUUGGGGGCGUUUAUAUUCCGUUGUCAGAGGUGAAAUUCUUGGAUUUACGGAAGAUAAACUACUGCGAAAGCAUUCGCCAAGGAUGUUUUCAUUAAUCAAGAACGAAAGUUAGGGGAUCGAAGACGAUUAGAUACCAU
rnacentral:rRNA from 1 species